rnacentral:rRNA from 1 species
CCUACGGGCGGCAGCAGUGGGGAAUAUUGGGCAAUGGGCGCAAGCCUGACCCAGCAACGCCGCGUGAAGGAAGAAGGCUUUCGGGUUGUAAACUUCUUUUGACAGGGAAGAGCAGAAGACGGUACCUGUCGAAUAAGCCACGGCUAACUACGUGCCAGCAGCCGCGGUAAUACGUAGGUGGCAAGCGUUGUCCGGAUUUACUGGGGGUAAAGGGCGUGUAGCCGGGCUGACAAGGCAGAUGUGAAAUCCGGGGGCUCAACCCCCGAACUGCAGUUGAAACUGUUGGUCUUGAGUAUCGGAGAGGCAGGCGGAAUUCCUAGUGUAGCGGUGAAAUGCGUAGAUAUUAGGAGGAACACCAGUGGCGAAGGCGGCCUGCUGGACGACAACUGACGGUGAGGCGCGAAAGCGUGGGGAGCAAACAGGAUUAGAUACCCCGGUAGUC